rnacentral:lncRNA from 1 species
GUUUAUUACAGGAUAUUGAGUAUAGUUCCCUGUGCUAUACAGUAGGACUCUGUUGUGUAUCCAAGUUAUAUAUUAUCUCAAACUCCUAAUAUCUCCCUCCCUCAUCCCCUUUCCCCUUUGGUUACUGUAAGUUUGUUUCCUGUCUGUGAAUUUGUUUCCGUUUGGUAAACAGGUUCAUUUGUGUCAUAUUUUAGAUCCUACAAAUAAGUGAUAUCAAUAGUAUUUGUCUUUCUCUUUCUGACUUACUCCACUUAGUAUGAUAAUGUCUAGGUCCACUCAUGUUGCUGCAAAUAUAUUAUGUGAUAUAUACAGAUAUAUUACAUCUUCUCUGUCCAGUCCCCUGUUGGUGGACAUGGAGGUUGCUUCCAUGUCUUGGCUAUUGUAAAUAGUGCUGCAGUGAACAUUGAGAUGCAUGUAUCAUUUCAAAUUAGCAUUUUCUGGAUAUAUGUCCAGGAGUGGGAUUGCUAGAUCCUAUGGCAAUGUUAUUUUUAGUGUUUUAAGGAACCCUCCGUCCUGUUCUCUAUAGUGGCCACACCAAUUUACAUUCCUGCCAGCAGUGUAGAAGGAUUGCCUUUUCUCCCCACCCUCUCCAGCAUUUGUUUGUAGACUUUUUAAUGACGUUAAGGAGAAUUUCUUUGGCCUGACCUCUCCAUCUUUCCCCUCCUCUAUCGCUGCACCUCUCAAGGCACUCAAGGCCCAACUUACCCCAGACUUCCUCCCUCCCGGAAGGGUCUCCUGACCUCUCCAGCCUCAUAGCCUGCUCGCACUGACCUCCAACCAGCCUGCUGCAAAGCUCUAGGCUCACAUUUAGGGCGUUCCUGCCUCCUGUCAGUCACCGAGGCUGGUAAGUGCUCCCACAUGCCCACUCCCUGAAAGACAGACGAGGCAACCCCAUUGAAAGGGAAGACACAGGCUCAGCGAGGUUCCGUAACGUCCCCCAGAUUACCUAGCUGGUUAGUGAAAUAACCGAGACUUAAAUUCAAGACUGACAACCGACCUCAAAACCUUUGCUCUAAACCAGGAGCCAGCAAACUAUACGGGCCUGAAGGCCAAAUUCUGCCACUAUCUGUUUUUCUACAGCUUGAGAGCUAAAAAUGGUUUUCACAUGACCGGGGGCGGGGGGGGGAUCAAAAGAAACAUAAGAUUUUGGCACAUGUGAAAAUCACAGGAAACUAACAUUUCAGUGUCCAUUAAUAACGUUUUAUUGGACAUGGUGGUGUGGUGGUUGUUUUCAUCAUGGCAUGCAGCAGCUUGAUAUGGGAUCUCAGUUCCCAGACCAGGGAUUGAACCCAGGCUGCAGCGGUAAAAGCACUGAGUCCUAACCACUAGACCACCAGGGAACUCCCUUAAUAAAGUUUUCUUGGCGCACACCAACACCCAUUCAUUUAGAUCUCUUUGAUGGCUUUUUCGUGAACUACAGUGGCAGAGCUGAGUCGUAGUGACAGGGACCAGCCUACAAGGGUUCCCAUUUGGCCCUUCACAGAAGACCUUUGCCGACCCCUGCUCCGAAAGGCACCAUUGAUGAGCCACAGCUCCACGGAGUUCUGAACACCCUGCCUGCCUUGACAGGCUGCUGUCUUUCUCUGGGUGCUGAGCCCACUGUAGGAUCUCAGAGGGAAAACAAAAUAGAUUUUAGCCCCCUUUGGACUUCCAGGUACUAAAGAUGUGCACCAGAAGUUCCCGUCGUGGCACAGCGGAAACGACCCCGACUAGGAACCGUGAGGUUGUGGGUUCGAUCCCUGGCCUUGUUCAAAAGGGCUUUGUUGUUCACUUUUUAGAAAUGAUAUGCUAUAGAGGGUUUAGCAAGCAGAGAGUUAUGUUGUCCAUAACUUAUUAUGGCUAAUGUUACUUCUACACUAAUCUUGCCUUUUUUUGUUGAGGGGAAGUGGGAGAGGAGAGGCCGAGAGGAGGAGAAAUACUCGAAGUGCUACAGCAGUAGUUUUCAGACUUCGCCUCCCGGGUCAGGGUUGGGGCCUGAGAAUCUGCAUUUCGCACAGAGUCCCAGGCGGCACCCCUCUGAGGACUCCUCCACUCUGUCAAAAGGCCUAGAAGACCGCUGGGCAGCUAUAGGAGGUGGGGCCAGGGCUUCCUUGCCUGAGGGGGGGGCAGGGGGAGCACGGAAAGUUCUUACUGUCCCAGCAGACCCGUUUCUUGAAGGAAGGGACAGGCUCCCAGGACCCCAGGGAUCAGCCUGGUUGGCCCCAGACCCAGAAUGUAUGGGGGUGAAGGCCUAGUCAAAGGCUCCCCCCACCCCACCCCCCUCAGAGAGGGGACUGAGGCUGGAAAGGCGGGGAAGGGCUGGGUUUCCCCAGAUCAAAGCUGGUUCCCCAGCCUUUGAUUCGCAAACAAGCAGACUCUUUAGAGGCUGGCCCGGAGUUUGGGGCAGGCUGGCCUUGGGGCCUGGGGUGAGUGGUCAGAGGCCCCCAGCCCGCUCUCUUUUUGCAUAACAGCUUGGCUGUCUAACAAAAGGACAGUCCUUGAAAGGCCGUAUGGGGCUGUUAAAAGCUUCCGGCAAUGGUUUAAUUGGGGGCGAUUAAAGUGUCCACCCCAGGAAGGCCUGCCCUUCAAAGGCCAACCAGGCCUGGCUCCCCUGCCCUCAGCACCUCUCCCCUCGGCCACGCCCCCGGUGGUAGCCCUGCCCCCAGCCUCUCCCCUCCGCCCCCUCAGCUACCCUGUGGCUCCCUGCCGACUGAGGAAGUCAGGGACGGGGACCCUUUGGCCAGCCUGUCUGUGGGGAUUCCGUCCUGGCCCCUGGACCAUCAGGACCAUUUGUUCGCACAGUUUGGUCUCGUGGCUGAGUCAGUGUGGGAGGUGGGGAAGGCUGAGUCGGAGAAAGGGCCCCAGACUGGUCCACCCGGCUCACUCUGGCUGCCUCAGGACACCUAGCCUGCCUGGUCUCUGGCCCCUCCUUGAGCUCCCUUACCAGCCCCUCUCCCCAAGGCCCUGGCCCAUCUGCAACUUCAUGGUCACCGUUGGGGGACCCACACAUUAAUCUUCCAGACAUGACCUGAGAGGUGCUGGGGACUCAGAGGUGACCAGACAGGAACCAUGACUCAUAAAGGUGCCGGAUAAGUGAACAGGCAGAAGCAACAGGGCGCGAUAUAGGUAAAAUGAGGUGAGCUAUAAGCAGGGCCCCUGCCUCUGGUGGGGCUCAGGGAGCAGAGGGGCAAGCAACAUGACCUUCUGGAAGCAACAGAGCCUACAGUGAGAACAGGGCCACUCAGUCUGGCUCAUUUGCCAACCAUGAUGGGAAGAGCUACACCACAGCUGGUUUCACUAAAAGACCUGACCCACCCAACCAGUUGGAGGAUCCUUGGAAGGGGAAGUGGGUAGAGGUUCCAUCAAGUCUCGAAAUCAUUGUUCUGUGGGUAUCUGGCUCAGACAACUCCCCAGAG